GGCGUGUUGGCGGAGUGGUUAUCGCGCAAGACUAGAAAUCUUGUUCCUUCGGGAGCGCAGGUUCGAAUCCUGCAUACGUCG